rnacentral:rRNA from 1 species
UACGAAGGGGGCUAGCGUUGUUCGGAAUCACUGGGCGUAAAGGGCGCGUAGGCGGCCGAUCAAGUCGGGGGUGAAAGCCUGUGGCUCAACCACAGAAAUUGCCUUCGAUACUGUUUGGCUUGAGACCGGAAGAGGUAAGUGGAACUGCGAGUGUAGAGGUGAAAUUCGUAGAUAUUCGCAAGAACACCAGUGGCGAAGGCGGCUUACUGGUCCGGUUCUGACGCUGAGGCGGCGAAAAGCGU